UACGAAGGGGGCUAGCGUUGUUCGGAAUUACUGGGCGUAAAGCGCGCGCAGGCGGUCUUCCAAGUCAGUGGUGAAAGCCCGGAGCUCAACUCCGGAACUGCCAUUGAAACUGUGAGACUAGAGUACGAGAGAGGUGAGUGGAAUUCCCAGUGUAGAGGUGAAAUUCGUAGAUAUUGGGAAGAACACCGGUGGCGAAGGCGGGUCUCUGGGCCGAUACUGACGCUGAGGAGCGAAAGCGUGGGGAGCAAACAGG
rnacentral:rRNA from 1 species